GACGAACGCUGGCGGCGUGCUUAACACAUGCAAGUCGAACGGAAAGGCCCCCAUCUUGGUGGGGGUGCUCGAGUGGCGAACGGGUGAGUAACACGUGGGUGAUCUGCCCUGUACUUCGGGAUAAGCUUGGGAAACUGGGUCUAAUACCGGAUAGGACCAUGGUUUAGUGUCUCAUGGUGGAAAGAUUAUUGUUUUGGUGCAGGAUGAGCUCGCGGCCUAUCAGCUUGUUGGUGGGGUAAUGGCCUACCAAGGCGUCGACGGGUAGCCGGCCUGAGAGAGUGGACGGCCACAUUGGGACUGAGAUACGGCCCAGACUCCUACGGGAGGCAGCAGUGGGGAAUAUUGCGCAAUGGGCGCAAGCCUGAUGCAGCGACGCCGCGUGGGGGAUGACGGCCUUCGGGUUGUAAACUCCUUUCGUUAGGGACGAAGCCGCACUUUUUUUGGGUGUGGUGACGGUACCUUUGUUAAGAAGCACCGGCUAACUACGUG
rnacentral:rRNA from 1 species